GCAACAAAUUUGCAAGUCGUAGGGUGACAAACCUGAAGGCGCAAUGAAAGUGAAAAAAUCCACCCAGUAAAAUGGGACAGUAUUGCCCGGUCUUGCGGCUACCGCCAAAGGAUCUGAGGUAGAGCAAAUUUGCUGCGACCCGAAAGAUGGUGAACUAUGCCUGCAUAGGGCGAAGCCAGAGGAAACUCUGGUGGAGGCUCGUAGCGAUUCUGACGUGCAAAUCGAUCGUCAAAUGUGGGUAUAGGGGCGAAAGACUAAUCGAACCAUCUAGUAGCUGG
rnacentral:ncRNA from 1 species